rnacentral:rRNA from 14 species
GGGCUACACACGUGCUACAAUGGUCGGUACAAAGGGUUGCUACACAGCGAUGUGAUGCUAAUCUCAAAAAGCCGAUCGUAGUCCGGAUUGGAGUCUGCAACUCGACUCCAUGAAGUCGGAAUCGCUAGUAAUCGUGGAUCAGAAUGCCACGGUGAAUACGUUCCCGGGCCUUGUACACACCGCCCGUCACAUCAUGGGAAUUGGUUCUACCCGAAGACGCUGUGCUAACUUCGGAGGCAGGCGGCCACGGUAGGAUCAGUGACUGGGAUGAAGUCGUAACAAGGUAGCCGUAUGGGAACCUGCGGCUGGAUCACCUCCUU